CAAAAGAAUUCAGUGAUCCAAUCAUUUUUGGCAUUGAAAUUCAACUUUUCAAAUUCUGGCAAUCCUUAUCCACCUGAUUCCAUCAUUAGAUUCAAUGGCUUUAUGUCCCCCGGUGCACAAUGGCAACUACUCCAGAUCAGCCUGUCCAGGAAAGCUCGCACCCUGUUGCUUUGACAACAACGGUUCUCGAACUUCCUGAGCCAUAGCUUUAAUCCUCAGGCCAUACCCAUCAUAUGAGUCAUAUCAACUACUCCAAGCUUGACAUCUAGAAUAAAAUGAGCAGCAUCAGAAUUGAACGUCCUAGGUCGAAGCAAAAGGAGAAUGGAGGUAGAGCCUUCCUAUUUCUGUUUAAUCUUUCAUAUUAUCUGUGUCACAUCAUCAUUUGCCCGACUGUAUCUUCCUCCCCAAUAUGCCAGGUAUUUUGGAGGGGAUCAGUGAAGCAAAGGCACCGACCUGGUGCUCGGUUGUUAAGUGGGGCUCGCUGCUUCCAAAAGGAUCGUAAUGGGACCAUUUCAGCUGUCGUAAUAGUGUACUGCUGUUUUUUUUCUUUCUUGAUACAAGCGGAUGAUUCCACCAUUCUAAUGUGAGA
rnacentral:lncRNA from 1 species